rnacentral:rRNA from 1 species
AUUGAACGCUGGCGGCAGGCCUAACACAUGCAAGUCGAACGGUAACAGGGAUCAGCUUGCUGAUUCGCUGACGAGUGGCGGACGGGUGAGUAAUGUCUGGGAAACUGCCUGAUGGAGGGGGAUAACUACUGGAAACGGUAGCUAAUACCGCAUAACGUCGCAAGACCAAAGAGGGGGACCUUCGGGCCUCUUGCCAUCGGAGGUGCCCAGAUGGGAUUAGCUAGUAGGUGGGGUAACGGCUCACCUAGGCGACGAUCCCUAGCUGGUCUGAGAGGAUGACCAGCCACACUGGAACUGAGACACGGUCCAGACUCCUACGGGAGGCAGCAGUGGGGAAUAUUGCACAAUGGGCGCAAGCCUGAUGCAGCCAUGCCGCGUGUAUGAAGAAGGCCUUCGGGUUGUAAAGUACUUUCAGCGGGGAGGAAGGGAGUAAAGUUAAUACCUUUGCUCAUUGACGUUACCCGCAGAAGAAGCACCGGCUAACUCCGUG